UCCCGUUCCGCUCCCAAUUCAAUCAAGAAAAGGAAAGCGCCGCCGCCGACCCGAUCCGGAUCCAGCCCCAACCCACCGGCUCCACUUAUAUACUCCUCCCUUUGAUUUCACAUCCGCAGCCACGCCAUGAGCACCUCGGCGAAGCCGUGUCCGGCAAGGACAAGGCUCCGCCCGCAGCCACCGCCUCCGCCACGGCUAUAAAGGUCCGCCCUUUGGCCGGUCCGCUCCUCCUCUCUUCGUCCGGGCCGCGCCUCUCGCCUCCGAUUCCAAAUCCAUCCGCCCGCCCGCUCGCGCCCUGCUCCCUCUCCGCCUGCGGGUCCGAGCCCCUCGCGCCGCUCCACCAGCGUCGUGCGCCAGCUGCGCGCGGUGCGUCGAGGUGGAGGGCAGGGUCCUCCGGGUGGUGGCCAGGGGGGCGGUGGUGCUCGUCGACGCGCUCCUCCGCCGCCGCCGCCUGGUCCGGGUGGCAGUCCACGUGGUCGCGCUCCUCCGCCGCCACCUGGUCCGGGUGGCAGUCCCUGCGGUCGCGCUCCACCGCCGCCGCCGGCGUGUUCAAGAUCGUCUUCUUUGGAUCGACCCGCCCUUCCGAGGCAAUGUGUAGAGCCUCUGCUCCUCUCGCGUCUGGUUAGGUGAUUCGUGCCUCUCCUCCUCUCGCCUCUGGUUUCAUGUUGCUCGUCCUCGCUCGAUUGGCCCGCUUAGAUUACAAGAAUCGCGUCUGGUUUAUUUGAUUCAGUUUUGCUCGUCCUUGAUUCGUCUGUUUUAAUUUGAUGAAGCGCGUCUGCUCGUCCUCGAUUCAUCCGUUUAGAUAGAAAUCGCGUCUGUUUUGAUUUGCUCGUCCUCGCCGUCGCCCGUUUAGAAUCGCUUCUGAUAUGAUUUUGCUCGUCCUCGCUGUCGCCUUGAUGCUCUCGCGUGUUCUUGAGGCCGCCUCGUCGGGGGUCUCCGUCCCUGCGACUCUGGGAGGAAGCGAGCGAGCGGUCGGUCGGUUUGGGUCACCGUCUGGUUUGCGAGCUAGCAAUUCUGUUUGAGAAACGCGUGCGCUUCUGUUAUCUGACGAUCCCGCAUUUCGUGUUCACGGUGGAGCGAUGGUUCCUGCGUUUCUGUUUGAGAAACUUGUGCGUGCGCUUCUAUUAUCUCACGAUCGUGCGUUCGUGUUCGCGUCGGGGCGACGGUUGCAGGAACGAUGGGUUCUGCUUUCGAAAUUGGAGCAGUGUCAAAUCGGUUCCUCUGUUCCAUCACCUGUGUUGUUCGUCGGUUAUUUUCAGAUCUCAAACGCAUGCGCCCUUGUGAUACUCUCGUUGCCCUCUGUUGAUUCUUGUUCUAUCGGCAGGCGUGUGUGCUUCCAUCAUAGAUGCAGAGAAUCCUAUUCUUGUCUGUUACCGUUGUUCUGAUGCUCUUCUUUUCAGUUGUUUAUUGUUAUCAUGCUUUGCUUAUCUUCCCAUAUGGCACGAUUGAUUGACUGUUGUUUGCUGUUUGAUUGAUUGCCUUGAGAUGGAUUGUUGUUUGUUGUUUGACUGAUUGCCUUGAGAUGGAUUGUUGUUUGUUGUUUGACUGAUUGCCUUGAGAUAGAUUGUAUUUUGUUCUUUGAUUGAUUGCUGUUUGUUGCCUUGAGAUGGUAUGUUUAUAUGGCACGAUUGAUUGUUGUUUAUUGCCUUGAGAUGGUACAUGUUUAUAUGGCACAAUUGAUUGCUGUUUGUGUAUGGUUAUUAAGAUUGAUUGCUGUUUGUUGAUUGGUAUCUAACUUUGGCAUAUGUAGUUCCUGAUCAUAGGUAACAGACCUAGCACUAUUCUUUUUUUCUGAACUUUUUUGUGAUUAUGUCUUAUGUGGAUAUCAUAUUCUUUUUUUGGGUAUAUUGCUGUUGUCUAGUCCUUGGAAUAAUGCUUUUCUAAGUAUUUGAGGUACAGACAUGUUGAUCUGGACAUAUCACAUUUGCUCUGUAUUGUGUUGCUAAGGACACUGAUGGGUUGAGUUGGCAUAUAGUGCAGGUAUAUUUACAUUCUUUACAUUUUGCGAUGCUGAUGCCUGUAGUCCCAAAGUGUUUAUUUACCUAUUUGCAUGGAUAUUUUCAUGAUGGCUAAUAUGAUUCAUUAUCGUUGUUCUGAUGGUGUGCUUCUGGUGUUUUAACUGAAGCCGUGGAUCGCUCGUCAACCUGGUCCUGUAGGUGAGGACAUGUUCCACUGGCAGGUCACUAUCAUGGGACCCUCGGACAGCCCGGUUACCGGUGGUCUAUUUUUGGUGAACAUCCAUUUCCCACAGGAUUAUCCCUUCAAGCCCCCGAAGACAUGAACCUAGUUCAGGUCUCUUUCCGCACCAAGGUGUUCCACUCAAACAUCAGAACAACGGAGCAUUUGCCUUGACAUUCUCAAGGAACAGUGGAGCCCGGCUUUGACCAUAUCAAAGGUAAUCUGCAUUCCUAGCUUGGUGGCUGCUGCUUGACUAAUUGAACACCUGCUGCUGCUACUGUAGGACAAGGUUUCCUGCUUUUUUUUCUCGUGUUGCUAUUUCCAUUUUCAUAGGAGUACUAGAUGAGGUGCUGAUAGUCCCAUAGAUUUCGUUCUAGAUUGCAUAGCAUAACUCCAGAAUUUUGAAAUUGCACACCUGGGCAUAUGAUUAUACUGUGAGCAUAACUCCAGAAUUUUUCAUCUGUGAAAGCAAGUUCAUCACAUGUUUUUUUAUCAAUGCUGCUCACUUUUGUCACUGCCCCUUUUGUUUGUCCUGUUAAAUUUUAUGGAGCAAAUUUUGUACUCACUGGUUAAAAUAUCAAGAAUGCUGACUUCUGUAUUUGUCGCUAUGUAAGCCAUGCACUUGGGAAGCCUGGGCGUGAUUAGGAUUUGGAUUGCAUAUAGACUUUCUGCUAUGUUUGUUUAUAACUUGGUUGUUGCCUAAUAUAGUGUAAAUCUGCUAAUUUUGUAAUUUAAUUUAUGUUCAACGCAAGUAGGUUUUGUUUGCAAGUGGUAUUUCUUUUGCGUGUGCAUGAACAUUCACACUGUCAAUUUUUCUUAUCAUAAUCAUUUACCGUGGUGUUCGACAAUACAUUUCUACUGUUCUUUGUUCCUUUUUGAGGUUCAUUGACUCAAUUAUGCAUGAGAUAUGAUAUCAAUUACUGUUGUCCAGUCACUGAAAUAAUGCUUUUCUUGCUUUGCCUAGAUUUUGUGACAAGAAUAAGCAUGCGUCUCUGUGCCUACAAACUUGUGGGUAGUGAUGAUGAUCUAACUAGCUUCCUGUUUUCAGGAAUGAAGAUCUGAAUUACCCUCACCACUCUACAGAAAUCAGUUUCUCAUUCAGUUUCUAGAACUUCUUUAUAGCUUUCUGAGUUAUCUAUGUCUGUUUCUUUAUGUGUUUCUUGUGUGCAAGUGCUCCAUUGUGUGUGUCUUGACUGUGUGUCUGACUAUGUGUGUGUGUGAUGUGCCCCUAUCUAUGUGUGUUUCUUUGUCUGUUUCAUGUGUGCAAGCACUCCAUGGUCUGUGUGUGACUGUGUUUGACUGCUUAGAUGGGGUGAUUCUGAUUGUGUUACUGCUUAUAUGGUCUGUCCAAUUGGUUUCUUCUUCAUGCUUUGCUUGUGUUCGAGUGUCGUCUCCCCAUAUAUGGGGAUGUGUUGAGGGAUGCAAACCAUGUAGGCCGUUUCGAGCAGGCAGGGAUCCAGAGACACUGGCCAGGCUUCUCUCCUGCUGAUAGAUGAUGAUAGGUUGAGCAGAAAAGUUUGAUUCUUGUAACACUCACUUGCUUGGCUUCCACUCCUUUGCGUGGCCGAUUUGGCAUCCAAUGCAUCCCCAUGCCCUUUUCCCUGUUUAUCUCACUCACUCAUCACAGCACCCUUUUCCCUGUUUUUGUUCCUUGUUUUUCUUAUCAUAAUAAUCAUGUUGGUGUUUGACAAUACAUUUUUUGUGAUAUUUGUGUUUCGUUAUGUCUUAUGUGGAUAUCAUAUUCUUUUCUUUUUGUAUUACCGAUGCCCAAUCACUGGAAUAAUGCUUUUCUAAGUAUUUCAGGUAGGAUAUAGACAAAUGUCACAUUUGCUCUUCCUUGCGUUGCUAAGGACACUGAUGGGUUGUGUUUGCUUACAGCGCAGGACAGAUAGUUCUAUAAAGAAUCAUUGGAAUAUUUCUUUGAGAAAGAAGUUAGAUAUCUAUGGCACCAGAAGUAUUUUGGCAAUUCCACGACUAAUUGGCCUUGAUGACUUCAAGUAUAAACAAAAGACGGCUGCUUCUGAGGGCCGUCUUGAUCUGAACAACUCAUCAUUCUAAUUUUAGCUCAUCUCUACAGUCAUACAAACUGGCAUGCCAAGGACUGCUCAGGGUUCCUAUCGCUUUCUGUUUUACCAACUAAGGUAAUCAAAUUUUGAUCUUCAGCUUGCAAAUUUAUCACCUUAUGGGAGGGAAAGGUUUGCAUGUACAUGAGCUCUGAUUAUCUACAUAUAUACUUGAAUUGCUUUGGAUUUGUUGGACUACUAUUCUACAUGAUGUUCUCCAUGAUUCACUUGAUCUGUUAAUUUGAGUAUUUUCCUGGUGAGUUCUUUAGGUUCAUCUUGUGACACAAAAUACAAUUUUUGGUACGUGCAGACUCUGAAAUUUGGUGAUAAAGAAAAGGUACCUCCUAAUUUGCUCUCUGGCUCUCUUACACUUGUGUUUGUUUAUAUAACAGUAGUGGCCUCCUGGCUUGUAGUUGGGUAAUGCAGAGAGAGGUUUGGAGUUGAAGGUUCUGAACGGGAAGCUUGAACAAAUAGUUCACUUUUUCUCAUGUCUUUGAUUAGUUCAUCCUAUCUAUGUCUGUUUCUUGUGUGCAAGCAUUCCAUUGUGUCUGUGUGAUUGUGUGUGACUGACUGUUUGUGUGUGUGACUGAUUGUGUGUGUUUCUUUGUCUGUUUCUUGUGUGCAAGCGCUCCAUUGUGUGUGUGCGUGUGUGUUGACUGUGACUGUGUGUCAUUUUAUGACUGUGACUGUGCAUUGAUUGUGACUGUGUGUGUGUGUGUGUGUGUGUGUUGACUGUGACUGUGUGUCAUUUUGCAAGCGCUCCAUAACUACCUAUUGGCACCUGAUAAUGCAUGGAAAUUUCUAUAAGGUCAUGGGCAUGUAAUUUUAUGACCUACAUACCUCUGUAGUUGGUAGUAUCAUUGCCCUUUGGACACUCUUCAAUUCAUUGUUGUAUAUUUUCCUACCACAAGUAUGAUGUUUGUGCUCAAAAUGACGUAUAUGUAGAAUCCAGGGUGGAUGGAGGUUUUCAUGAUGGCUAAUUUGAUUUGUUAUGGUUCUGAUGGUGUGCUUCUUGUGUUUGAACUGAAGCCGUGGAUCAUUCAUCAACCUGGUCUGUGUUUGUAUGCUGAAUUAUUUCCGGAUAGGACAGAGGUGCAAUGCUUACAUCCAUGGCAGAAGGUUCUUUAACACUGAACUCAUCAAAUGUCCUUGGACUCAAGAGGAAGAUGAAAAAAUUAUUGACCUUGUAAACAACUAUGGACUAACAAAAUGGUCUCAUUGCAAGGUCAGCUACCAGAACUUCCUGCUGCUGAUCCUGGGAUGUUUCCGAACAUGCUCUCGAACAUGUUCAAUUUAUCCACCCUAGGACAGCCACUGCCAUGACGUAGCAGGUUACUCGGCAUGCUUGGCGUGUUUACUUCGGUGGACUUCCUCCGAUCGCUAAUGAACAGACGGUUGCUCUAUUCUUCAAUCAAGUUAUGGCUGCUAUCGGGGGAUACACAUUUGGUCUAGGUGGCAUAAUCAUCUGAAUCCAAACAUAUGGAAUGAUGCUUGGACUACGAGGAGGAACAUGAACUGAUUAAUGCCAUCAGGUAUAUGGGAAUAAAUGAGCAGAAAUAUCAAAAGUUAUUCCUGGAAGGUACUGCAUGCCAAACAACUUACAUCAUGGGUCUUGCUUGUAGUAUUAGCUUUCUGUUUGUGCCCUUUCUAUCUCUUGUGUGUGUGACUGACUGUGUGUGACUGUGACUGUGUAUGUGUGACUGACUCUGUGUGACUGACUCUGUGUGACUGUUACUGUGUGUGUGUGACUGAAUCUGUGUGUGACUGUGACUGUGUGUGUUUGAAUUAAUAUUGCAUUUGCUUGAUGGUGUGUGCUGUAUGCUUUGCUUGAUGGUGUGUCCUGUAUGCUUUGCUUGAUGGUGUGUCCUGAAUGCUUUGCUUGAAUGAUUGGUGUUGUAUGUUUUGUUUG